rnacentral:rRNA from 1 species
GGAAACUGCCUGAUGGAGGGGGAUAACUACUGGAAACGGUAGCUAAUACCGCAUAACGUCGCAAGACCAAAGAGGGGGACCUUCGGGCCUCUUGCCAUCGGAUGUGCCCAGAUGGGAUUAGCUAGUAGGUGGGGUAACGGCUCACCUAGGCGACGAUCCCUAGCUGGUCUGAGAGGAUGACCAGCCACACUGGAACUGAGACACGGUCCAGACUCCUACGGGAGGCAGCAGUGGGGAAUAUUGCACAAUGGGCGCAAGCCUGAUGCAGCCAUGCCGCGUGUAUGAAGAAGGCCUUCGGGUUGUAAAGUACUUUCAGCGGGGAGGAAGGGAGUAAAGUUAAUACCUUUGCUCAU